UUGCCAUGCUUCCCACCAUGAUUAUAAUGGACUGAAACUCCAAAACUAUGAAAGACAUCUAAUGUGAUUGGUUUUACACGUCUCUUCUUUAAAAAUGGAAAACAUCAGCAAAUUGGCAAAAUAAUGUUCUGACUCACUGAAAACCACUAACCCUAUGAAGACCACUACAGAAGGCCUCUUUUUGGGAGAUGUGUAUACACAGCACACUAAUUCCCUUAUAGGAAAAUCAAGAUUUGAAAGGA